rnacentral:rRNA from 1 species
GAUGAACGCUGGCGGCGUGYUUAACACAUGCAAGUCGAACGGGGAACAAAUUAUUGAAGCUUCGGCAGAUYUAGCUUGUUCCUAGUGGCGGACGGGUGAGUAAYGCGUGGGUAACCUGCCUCACACUGGGGGAUAACAGUCAGAAAUGGCUGCUAAUWCCGCAUAAGCGCAUAGUACCGCAUGGUACAGUGUGAAAAACUCCGGUGGUGUGAGAUGGACCCGCGUUGGAUUAGCUAGUUGGCAGGGCAGCGGCCUACCAAGGCGACGAUCCAUAGCCGGCCUGAGAGGGUGAACGGCCACAUUGGGACUGAGACACGGCCCAGACUCCUACGGGAGGCAGCAGUGGGGAAUAUUGCACAAUGGGGGAAACCSKGAUGCAGCGACGCCGCGUGAAGGAAGAAGUAUCUCGGUAUGUAAACUUCUAUCAGCAGGGAAGAAAAUGACGGUACCKACAGAAGUAAAA